rnacentral:rRNA from 1 species
UGAAUACGAGACGCUAAGGCGUCGAAGUAGUGUAUGUCAUACUUCCAAGAAAAGCUUGCACUGUCAUAGAUAAAAAACGCCUGUACCAUAACCGACACAGGUGGGUAGGUAGAGUAUACUAAGGGGCGCGAGAUAACUCUCUCUAAGGAACUCGGCAAAAUAACUCCGUAACUUCGGGAGAAGGAGUGCCUUAUUCUUAAGGUUGCAAUAACAAGAUCCAAGCAACUGUUUAUCAAAAACACAGGUCUCCGCUAAGUCGUAAGACGAUGUAUGGGGGCUGACGCCUGCCCAGUGCCAGAAGGUUAAAGAAGCUGGUUAGCAUUUGCGAAGCUAGUAACUGAAGCCCUGGUGAACGGCGGCCGUAACGAUAACGGUCCUAAGGUAGCGAAAUUCCUUGUCGGGUAAGUUCCGACCCGCACGAAAGGCGUAAUGAUUUGGAUACUGUCUCGGAGAGGGGCUCGGUGAAAUAGACUUGUCUGUGAAGAUGCGGACUACCUGCACCAGGACAGAAAGACCCUAUGAAGCUUUACUGUAACUUGAAAUUGAAAUUGGACUUUAUUCGCGCAGUAUAGGUGGGAGGCGUUGAUUAUAAUCUUGCGGGAUUAUUGGAGCCAUUAGUGAGAUACCACUCUUGUAAUGUUAGAUUUCUAACUUUGAAUCAUUAUCUGGUCAAAGAGCAGUUUCAGGCGGGCAGUUUGACUGGGGCGGUCGCCUCCUAAACGGUAACGGAGGCGUACAAAGGUUUCCUCUGAACGGUUAGAAAUCGUAUCUAGAGUGUAAAGGCAUAAGGAAGCUUGACUGUGAGACCUACAAGUCGAGCAGGGACGAAAGUCGGUCUUAGUGAUCUGACGGUACUGAGUGGAAAGGCCGUCACUCAACGGAUAAAAGUUACUCUAAGGAUAACAGGCUAAUCUCCCCCAAGAGUUCACAUCGACGGGGAGGUUUGGCACCUCGAUGUCGGCUCAUCGCAUCCUGGGGCGGUAGUACGUCCCAAGGGUUGGGCUGUUCGCCCAUGAAAGCGGUACGCGAGCUGGGUUCAGAACGUCGUGAGACAGUUCGGUCCAUAUCCGGUGUAGGCGUUAGAAUAUUGAGAGGAGCCUUCUUUAGUACGAGAGGACCGAGAAGGACAUACCUCUGGUGUACCAGUUAUCGUGCCAACGGUAAACGCUGGGUAGCUAUGUAUGGAGUGGAUAACCGCUGAAAGCAUCUAAGUGGGAAGCCCACCUCAAGAUAAGUAUUCUCAU